rnacentral:rRNA from 1 species
GACGAACGCUGGCGGCGUGCCUAAUACAUGCAAGUAGGACGCACAGUUUAUACCGUAGCUUGCUACACCAUAGACUGUGAGUUGCGAACGGGUGAGUAACGCGUAGGUAACCUGCCUAUUAGAGGGGGAUAACUAUUGGAAACGAUAGCUAAUACCGCAUAACAGUAUGUAACACAUGUUAGAUGCUUGAAAGAUGCAAUUGCAUCGCUAGUAGAUGGACCUGCGUUGUAUUAGCUAGUAGGUAGGGUAAUGGCCUACCUAGGCGACGAUACAUAGCCGACCUGAGAGGGUGAUCGGCCACACUGGGACUGAGACACGGCCCAGACUCCUACGGGAGGCAGCAGUAGGGAAUCUUCGGCAAUGGGGGGAACCCUGACCGAGCAACGCCGCGUGAGUGAAGAAGGUUUUCGGAUCGUAAAGCUCUGUUGUUAAGGAAGAACGAACGC